rnacentral:rRNA from 1 species
GAUGAACGCUGGCGGCGUGCUUAACACAUGCAAGUCGAACGAAGCAGCUUUCUUGCUUGCAAGAAAGCUGACUUAGUGGCGGACGGGUGAGUAACGCGUGGGUAACCUGCCUCAUACAGGGGGAUAACAGUUGGAAACGACUGCUAAGAACGCAUAACCCGCUAGUGUCGCAUGACACGGACGGAAAAUAUUUAUAGGUAUGAGAUGGGCCCGCGUCUGAUUAGCUAGUUGGUAAGGUAACGGCUAACCAAGGCGAAGAUCAGUAGCCGACUUGGGAGAGUGAUCGGCCACAUUGGGACUGCGACACGUACCAAACUCCUACAGGAGGCAGCAGUGAGGAAUAUUGGACAAUGGGGGGAACCCUGAUCCAGCGACGCCGCGUAAGUAAAGAAGUAUUUCGGUAUGUAAAGCGCGAUCAGCAAGGAAAAUAAUGACAGUACCUGACUAAGGAGCCCCGGCUAACUGCGUGCCAGCAGCCGCAGUAAUAC